UACAGGGGGUGCAAACGUUGCUCGGAAUCAUUGGGCGUAAAGCGCACGUAGGCGGCCAACUAAGUCAGACGUGAAAUCCCUCAGCUUAACUGGGGAACUGCGUCUGAUACUGGAUGGCUUGGAUUCGGGAGAGGAAUGCGGAAUUCCAGGUGUAGCGGUGAAAUGCGUAGAUAUCUGGAGGAACACCGGUGGCGAAGGCGGCAUUCUGGACCGACAUUGACGCUGAGGAGCGAAAGCCAGGGGAGCAAACGGG
rnacentral:rRNA from 1 species